AAGAUCCUGACAACAACACAAUGAGAGCUGCACUCCUUGCAAGUCUUUACCAGCAGCUGUUGCUUCAGUUCUCUGGAAAUUCUUUAAACCUAGAAUCAGAUACAAAAACUGAACUCUGGGUCCAUAAUCUUCAUUUGUCCUUGAAGUAUGAGGCUGGUGGCAAGAGUAACUGUGUUUCUGACCUUUGGGACUAUAAUUGAUGCUAAGACCACUCAGCCCACCUCCAUGGAUUGCGCUGAAGGAAGAGCUGCAAACCUGCCUUGUAAUCACUCUACCAUCGGUGGAAAUGAGUACAUACAUUGGUAUCGACAGAUUCACUCCCAGGGGCCACAGUAUGUCAUUCAUGGUCUAAAAAACAAUGAGACCAAUGCAAUGGCCUCUCUGAUCAUCACAGAAGACAGAAAGUCCAGCACCUUGAUCCUGCCCCACGUGACGCUGAGAGACACUGCUGUGUACUAUUGCAUCGUGAGAGUCGCACAUUGGGACAGAUGGGGCUGCACCUGUGCAAUAUCUCCCUGGUGGCAAGUGAGGAGGAGGGUAGCAUUCAUCUAGAGCAAAA